rnacentral:rRNA from 1 species
UACGGAGGGUGCAAGCGUUAUUCGGAAUUACUGGGCGUAAAGCGCGUGCAGGCGGGCCGGCAAGUCUGAUGUGAAAGCCCCGGGCUUAACCUGGGAAGUGCAUUGGAAACUGCUGGUCUUGAGUUCUGGAGAGGAAGGGGGAAUUCCCGGUGUAGAGGUGAAAUUCGUAGAGAUCGGGAGGAAUACCAGUGGCGAAGGCGCCCUUCUGGACGGCAACUGACGCUGAGACGCGAAAGCGUGGGGAGCAAACAGG